AUUGAACGCUGGCGGCAUGCCUUACACAUGCAAGUCGAACGGCAGCACGGGAGCAAUCCUGGUGGCGAGUGGCGAACGGGUGAGUAAUAUAUCGGAACGUGCCCAGUCGUGGGGGAUAACGCAGCGAAAGCUGUGCUAAUACCGCAUACGAUCUCAGGAUGAAAGCGGGGGAUCGCAAGACCUCGCGCGAUUGGAGCGGCCGAUAUCAGAUUAGCUAGUUGGUGGGGUAAAUGCCCACCAAGGCGACGAUCUGUAGCUGGUCUGAGAGGACGACCAGCCACACUGGAACUGAGACACGGUCCAGACUCCUACGGGAGGCAGCAGUGGGGAAUUUUGGACAAUGGGCGCAAGCCUGAUCCAGCAAUGCCGCGUGCAGGAUGAAGGCCUUCGGGUUGUAAACUGCUUUUGUACGGAACGAAACGGCCCUUUCUAAUACAGGGGGCUAAUGACGGCACCGUAAGAAUAAGCACCGGCUAACUACGUGCCAGCAGCCGCCGUAA
rnacentral:rRNA from 1 species